GAGCUGGAGCUGGGGCAGCAGGUGCUGGAGCUGGAGCUGGGGCAGCAGGUGCUGGAGCUGGAGCUGGGGCAGCAGGUGCUGGAGCUGGAGCUGGGGCAGCAGGUGCUGGAGCUGGAGCUGGGGCAGCAGGUGCUGGAGCUGGGGCAGCAGGUGCUGGAGCUGGAGCUGGGGCAGCAGGUGCUGGAGCUGGGGCUGGAGCAGCGGGAGCUGCUGGUGCUCUUGAAAAUCUGAGCUUCAGUAGCUCAAAGAGUCCCUCCACCGUCUUUGCCUUUUCAGGCCUUUGGUCCGACACAAUGUCCGCCCAUUGUGAAGCCCUACCCCUCAGUAAAGUCUUGAUAAAAAGUACCUUUAUAAGUUCUGGAAGGGUAGGGCACAACAAAUGGUCGAGGUAGAGGGAGCACUGCAUGAUGAAGCCCUCACAGGUCCCGUGUUCCCCAUCAUAUUCACAGGGGGAAGACAUCAACGAGGGUAAUACCAGCGGCUGUCCAUCUUGAAGCAUGGAAACAAGGCUCUCCAAAAACUCCUGCUGUUCCUGCAUCGCCGAAUAAAGACUUGCUACAUCCUCAGUGGGUCGCAUCUUAUGUAACAUGGAGGAGGCAGGAUGUAAACGCAAGUCUUUUUUAUUUUCCAUAUUUAAACUAACAAAGAAAAGAACACUAGGGAAUAUAAAAAGAAAAGGUAACUAAAACAAAACACUAUGAAACAGAGGAUAAACUAAAAUACUGAACCAAACAAGCAAGCUACGCAAACAAAGAAACAAACUAAAUAAAGCAAACCUGAGACACUGAGGCCAAACAACACAGCAGGUCUGUGGCUAAACAAAACAGAUGAACACAAUCUGGACAGAGUAACAUGACAAAUUGAGACAAAAGAUGCGACAAACUACAAAGGAGCACAUGGGGUAUUUAUACACAGGCACACACUAGGGACACCUGUGGAGGUAAUGAGGGGGGCGGAGUUACAAAGGAGACAGGAGGGGUUACAGAUGACAAGGCGGGGCUAAGGCGGAGACAUGACCAAAACACAGUAGCACAUGUCUGGGAAACAUGACAGGUAAACAAAACACGAGAACAGAGGACAGGAGCAGGAAGGAACCAAAAAAGGAAAGACACUGGACAGACACAGGCUAAGGUGUAACAUU